AGGAAUGCAGGCAAAGUGAGCAAAGCACAGUAUAACAUCUAGAACUGUAUGCAGUGCACCAAUAUUCAAAAGAGCUACUUUUUUCCUACACUACUAAUUAAAUUUACUGACUACUUAAGUCCAAGGACUUAUUUCUUAGUAAGUGUUGGCUGUUUGAUUGCAUUUAAAGUUAACUCCAGGGACUGGCAAACUACAGCCCGCAUGCCCAUUCACUACGCACAGUCUGAAUCCCAGCACUUUGGGAGGCUGAGGGAGGCAGAUCACCUGAGGUCAGGAGCUCUGACCUCAUGGAGCCUGACCAACAUGGAGAAACCCUGUCUCUACUAAAAAUACAAAAUUAGCCAGGCGUGGUGGCGCAUGCCUGUAAUCCCAGCUACUGGGGAGGCUGAGGCAGGAGAAUGGCUUGAACCUGGGAGGCGGAAAUUGCAGUGAGCCGAGAUCACACCACUGCACUCCAGCCUGGGCAACAAGAGUGAAACUCUUUCUCAAAAAAAAAAAAAAGAAACUAACACAUAAACAAUUAACUUUAGGACAGACAAGAUUGAGCACUUCAUAAAACCAAGCCAAGCCAGCAUUCCUACACUCGCUCCUUCUCUAGCCACAUCCUUAGGAACAGAAAAGAAAACAAAA
rnacentral:lncRNA from 1 species